rnacentral:rRNA from 1 species
GACGAACCGUGCAAACGUUGUUCGGAAUCACUGGGCUUAAAGGGCGCGUAGGCGGGCCAGCCAGUCUGUGGUGAAAGCCCCCGGCUUAACCGGGGAAGUGCCGUGGAUACUGCUGGCCUCGAGGAGGAUAGGGGCAUCUGGAACGGUCGGUGGAGCGGUGAAAUGCGUUGAUAUCGACCGGAACUCCGGUGGCGAAGGCGAGGUGCUGGGUCCUUUCUGACGCUGAUGCGCGAAAGCCAGGGGAGCAAACAGG